rnacentral:rRNA from 1 species
UACGGAGGGGGCUAGCGUUAUUCGGAAUUACUGGGCGUAAAGCGCACGUAGGCGGCUUUCUAAGUCGGGGGUGAAAUCCUGGAGCUCAACUCCAGAACUGCCUUCGAUACUGGAAAGCUCGAGUCCGGGAGAGGUGAGUGGAACUGCGAGUGUAGAGGUGAAAUUCGUAGAUAUUGGGAAGAACACCGGUGGCGAAGGCGGCGACCUGGUCCGUGACUGACGCUGAGGCGCGAAAGCGUGGGGAGCAAACAGG